rnacentral:rRNA from 1 species
UACAGAGGGGGCAAGCGUUAUUCGGAAUUAUUGGGCGUAAAGGGCGCGUAGGCGGUUCUUCAAGUCUCUCGUGAAAUCCCUCGGCUUAACUGAGGACGUGCGGGAGAUACUGAAGGGCUUGAGUCCGGAAGAGGGUGGUGGAAUUCCCAGUGUAGCGGUGAAAUGCGCAGAUAUCAGGAAGAACACCCGUGGCGGAAGGCGGCUCUCUGGGACGGUA